UACGAAGGGGGCUAGCGUUGCUCGGAAUCACUGGGCGUAAAGCGCACGUAGGUGGAUCGCUAAGUCAGGGGUGAAAUCCUGGAGCUCAACUCCAGAACUGCCUUUGAUACUGGCAAUCUCGAGUCCGGGAGAGGUGAGUGGAACUGCGAGUGUAGAGGUGAAAUUCGUAGAUAUUCGCAAGAACACCAGUGGCGAAGGCGGCUCACUGGCCCGGUACUGACGCUGAGGUGCGAAAGCGUGGGAGCAACAGG
rnacentral:rRNA from 1 species